GCAGUCGAGGGGUAGAAAUUAGCUUGCUAUUUUGAGACCGGCGCACGGGUGCGUAACGCGUAUGCAACCUACCUUGUACAUAGGGAUAGCCCAGAGAAAUUUGGAUUAAUACCUAAUGGUGUUAUGAAUCGGCAUCGGUUUAUAACUAAAGAUUUAUCGGUACAAGAUGGGCAUGCGUCCCAUUAGCUAGUUGGUAUGGUAACGGCAUACCAAGGCUACGAUGGGUAGGGGUCCUGAGAGGGAGAUCCCCCACACUGGUACUGAGACACGGACCAGACUCCUACGGGAGGCAGCAGUGAGGAAUAUUGGUCAAUGGGCGCAAGCCUGAACCAGCCAUGCCGCGUGCAGGAUUAAGGUCCUAUGGAUUGUAAACUGCUUUUGUACGGGAAGAAACAACUCUUCGAGAAGAGUCUUGACGGUACCGUAAGAAUAAGGAUCGGCUAACUCCGUGCCAGCAGCCGCGGUAAUACGGAGGAUCCAAGCGUUAUCCGGAAUCAUUGGGUUUAAAGGGUCCGUAGGCGGCCUUAUAAGUCAGUGGUGAAAUCUCACGGCUCAACCGUGAAAUUGCCAUUGAUACUGUAGGGCUUGAAUGGCUGUGAAGUAACUAGAAUAUGUAGUGUAGCGGUGAAAUGCUUAGAUAUUACAUGGAAUACCGAUUGCGAAGGCAGGUUACUAACAGUUUAUUGACGCUGAUGGACGAAAGCGUGGGUAGCGAACAGGAUUAGAUACCCUGGUAGUCCACGCUGUAAACGAUGGAUACUAGCUGUUUGAGCGCUUC
rnacentral:rRNA from 1 species